rnacentral:rRNA from 1 species
GAUGAACGCUGGCGGCAUGCCUAAUACAUGCAAGUCGAGCGAAGGGGUGAGCAGCUUGCAUAUAUGAUAAUAGUAGCGAACGGGUGAGUAACACGUGGGGAACCUGCCUAUGAGAGUGGGAUGACUUUCGGAAACGGAUGCUAAUACCGCAUAAUGUUUUGAACCGCCUGGUUCAGAGAUGAAAGACGGUCUUGCCGUCAAUUCUUGAUUGAUCCGCGCUGUAUUAGCUAGUUGGUUAGGUAAUGGCUCACCAAAGCUUCGAUACGUAGCCGACCUGAGAGGGUGAUCGGCCACACUGGGACUGAGACACGGCCCAGACUCCUACGGGAGGCAGCAGUAGGGAAUCUUCCACAAUGGGCGAAAGCCUGAUGGAGCAAUGCCGCGUGAAUGAAGAAGGUCUUCGGAUCGUAAAGUUCUGUUAUUAGAGAAGAACAAGUCAAGGAAUAACUGUGUUGACUUUGACGGUACCUAACCAGAAAGUCACGGCUAACUACGUG